UGUACAUGCAAAAAUAAACCCCCGAGUUCGAUAUGAUCCGACCCAUUUCAGUUUCGGACAAAAACGGGUCGUCGUCGUCUUUCUCUCAGUUCUCAACUUCUCAAACGGAAGAGUUUGCAAAAGGAAGAAGAAAAGAGCAAUGAGUGGAGAAGAAUUAGCGGGCCCCCCAGCGCCAAAGCUCCUCCGUCUGCUUUAUUUUGUCGGCGCUGGCUUUAUUUGCACUGUUGGAAUCGACAAAUGGCGUGAGCUUCAGCGCAAGUCCAUUUUACAAUAGCAGCAGCAGCAACAACAGCUCCCUGAAAAUGCCGCAAAUGCCUUUGGGUGAUCUCCAGGUUUAAGGCAAAUUUUCAAAUUUUGUCAUGGAAUUUGGCAAGUAAGCUUGAUCUUUGGCUUCAUUUUGAGUUUGUAUGUGCUGCUCCAGCUGAACUCGUGUUAGACUGAGCUUUGGUAGUUUGGUUGUUAAAUUAUGUGGAAAAUGGUGCAAGAAUUCAUGCCUUUCAAUCUGUUUGAAUAUACGAAAUACCUAUGUGUGCAAAUUUCUUUGGCUUCAUUUUGAGUUUGAUCAAAUUGCUAAUCUGAGUAUUCAGUGUACAAAUUUGAAUGGUAAUGGGGAUUGUCAAGA